rnacentral:rRNA from 1 species
CCUACGGGAGGCAGCAGUGAGGAAUAUUGGUCAAUGGGCGGAAGCCUGAACCAGCCAAGUAGCGUGCAGGAUGACGGCCCUACGGGUUGUAAACUGCUUUUAUACGGGAAUAACGCGCCUUACGUGUGGGGCUUUGCAUGUACCCUAUGAAUAAGGAUCGGCUAAUUCCGUGCCAGCAGCCGCGGUAAUACGGAAGGUCCGGGCGUUAUCCGGAUUUAUUGGGUUUAAAGGGAGCGUAGGCGGGAUGUCAAGCGUGCUGUGAAAUUUCCGGGCUCAACCCGGGCCGGGCAGCGGAAACUGGCGUGCGUGAGUCCGCGGAAAGCAGGCGGAAUUCGUGGUGUAGCGGUGAAAUGCUUAGAUAUGACGAAGAACCCCGAUUGCGAAGGCAGCUUGCUGCAGCGGAACUGACGCUGAUGCUCGAAAGCGCGGGUAUCGAACAGGAUUAGAUACCCUAGUAGUC